AUUGAACGCUGGCGGCAGGCUUAACACAUGCAAGUCGAGCGGUAGCACAGGGGAGCUUGCUCCCUGGGUGACGAGCGGCGGACGGGUGAGUAAUGUCUGGGAAACUGCCUGAUGGAGGGGGAUAACUACAGGAAACGGUAGCUAAUACCGCAUAACGUCGCAAGACCAAAGAGGGGGACCUUCGGGCCUCUUGCCAUCAGAUGUGCCCAGAUGGGAUUAGCUAGUAGGUGGGGUAAUGGCUCACCUAGGCGACGAUCCCUAGCUGGUCUGAGAGGAUGACCAGCCACACUGGAACUGAGACACGGUCCAGACUCCUACGGGAGGCAGCAGUGGGGAAUAUUGCACAAUGGGCGCAAGCCUGAUGCAGCCAUGCCGCGUGUGUGAAGAAGGCCUUCGGGUUGUAAAGCACUUUCAGCGAGGAGGAAGGUGGUGAGCUUAAUACGUUCAUCAAUUGACGUUACUCGCAGAAGAAGCACCGGCUAACUCCGUG
rnacentral:rRNA from 1 species